GCGGAUGUAGCUCAACUGGGAGAGCGCCGGAUUUGGUCCGGAGGUUGUGGGUUCGAGUCCCGCUGUCUGCACCA
rnacentral:tRNA from 3 species